GAUGAAGAACGUAGCGAAAUGCGAUACGUAAUGUGAAUUGCAGAAUUCAGUGAGUCAUCGAAUCUUUGAACGCAUAUUGCGCUCUUUGGUAUUCCGAAGAGCAUGCUUGUUUGAGUAUCAGUAAACACCUCAAAGACUUCAAUUUGUUUUGAAUGGCUUUGGACUUGAGCAAUCCCAACACCAGUCUUUACGAUCGGUGGAGGGUUGCUUGAAAUGCAGGUGCAGCUGGACAUUCUCCUGAGCUAAAAGCAUAUUUAUUUAGUCCCGUCAAACGGAUUAUUACUUUUGCUGCAGCUAACAUAAAGGGAGUUUGACCGUAUUGGCUGACUGAUGCAGGAUUUCACAAGGGUCGGCAACGAUUCUUGUAAAACUCGAUCUCAAAUCAAGUAAGACUACCCGCUGAACUUAAGCAUAUCAAUAAGCGGAGGA
rnacentral:misc_RNA from 1 species